rnacentral:rRNA from 1 species
AUUAAGUUUUAUUUAAUAUAGGAUCUGCUCAAUGAUUUAUUAAAUAGCUGCAGUAUUUUGACUGUGCAAAGGUAGCAUAAUAAUUAGUCUUUUAAUUGAGGACUUGUAUGAAAGAUUUGAUGAGAAAUAAACUUUAUUAUUUAUAUAAUUAAAAUUUUAUUUUUAAGUAAAAAAGCUUAAAUUAUUUAAAGGGACGAUAAGACCCUAUAAAACUUUAUAAAUAUUAAUUUUGAUUUUUUUUGGAUUUAUAAAUAUUUUAAUUUUAUUAUUUAUUUUAUUGGGGUGAUAAAAAAAAUUAUUAAACUUUUUUUAAAAUUUUACAUAAUUUAAUGGAUAUUUGAAUUAAAAUUUUUAGUUAAAGGAAAAAGUUACUUUAGGGAUAACAGCGUAAUUAAUUUUUUAAGUCCAAAUUUAAAAAUUAGUUUGCGACCUCGAUGUUGAAUUAAGAUUAAUCUUAGGUGCAAAAUUUUAAGUAUUAGGUCUGUUCGACCUUUAAAUUCUUACGUGA